CGGGGUGGGCGGGAGCGAAUCGCGGCUGGCGGGUUUCACCGUUUUAAUCUCUGGUGGUGCCAGCGGCACGGGCGCUUGUUCAAAUACAUUUUGUAUUCAGAUCUGUCACAUUGAUGUCAUGUGAAUAACAGCUUUGCAACACAAUGAACAGGCUCAGGGGUUUCUGCAAUUUUGUGUACAUUCCAAUUCACCACAAAGCCAAAACCUUGAACUGGACAAGACUUCUGAUUUUCGACACUUCUGACUUCCAUAAGUAGCAGUAGCUGCAUGUCAUCCAGGCACACAGGGAAAUAGUGGCCUACAG